rfam:Capsicum annuum cultivar Zunla-1 chromosome 1, whole genome shotgun sequence
UAAAAAAUGAAGUGUGGUUUUGUGCACGGAGAUUGAAUCAGUAGAGUUGACAUGUCUGCUCUCUUUGAUGCUCUUUUCAAGGGUUAAUGAUUUGAGGGCCUGGUUUUAGACUCACAUUU